CGGGGCGUUACGUACAUUCAUUUAUGUAUAUAUAUAGGAGACCUCGCAUUAGAUCUCCUUCGUUCUCACUUCUCAACUCAACAGCGAGAACAAGAAGUCAUCGGAUCUCUCACUUUGCAUUGAUUCAUUCCCGAGAUUUUGAACAAGGAGACAAAGAUGGUGAAGAUCUGUUGCAUAGGAGCUGGAUAUGUCGGUGGGCCUACUAUGGCUGUGAUUGCCCUUAAGUGCCCAGAUAUAGAAGUAGCUGUUGUUGACAUUUCUGUGUCACGGAUCAGUGCCUGGAACAGUGAUACUCUCCCCAUAUAUGAGCCUGGCCUUGAUGAUGUGGUAAAACAGUGCAGAGGAAAAAACCUCUUUUUCAGCACUGAUGUUGAGAAACACGUUAUGGAGGCAGACAUUGUCUUUGUUUCAGUCAACACACCUACCAAGACCCAGGGUCUUGGUGCUGGAAAAGCAGCUGAUCUUACAUACUGGGAGAGCGCUGCUCGUAUGAUUGCAGAUGUAUCGAAGUCCGACAAAAUUGUUGUUGAGAAGUCAACUGUGCCAGUGAAAACAGCUGAGGCUAUUGAAAAGAUUCUGACUCACAACAGCAAAGGCAUCAACUUUCAAAUUCUUUCCAACCCUGAAUUUCUCGCUGAGGGAACUGCAAUCCAAGACCUUUUCAAUCCUGACCGAGUACUCAUCGGAGGUAGGGAAACCCCAGCAGGUGAGAAGGCCAUACAAGAACUUAAAAAGGUUUAUGCCCGCUGGGUUCCUGAAGAACAAAUUAUUUGCUCUAAUUUGUGGUCUGCUGAGCUUUCAAAGCUUGCUGCCAAUGCCUUCUUGGCACAGAGGAUUUCUUCUGUUAAUGCCAUGUCAGCUCUCUGUGAAGCAACUGGUGCAGAUGUCACUCAAGUGGCACAUGCUGUUGGCAAGGACACAAGAAUUGGGCCGAAGUUCUUAAAUGCCAGUGUUGGUUUUGGUGGAUCUUGCUUCCAGAAGGAUAUCUUAAACUUGGUAUAUAUCUGUGAGUGCAAUGGCCUUCCUGAGGUCGCAAACUACUGGAAACAGGUCAUUAAGAUCAAUGACUACCAGAAGUCCCGGUUUGUGAACCGAGUGGUUUCCUCAAUGUUCAACACUGUCUCUGGUAAGAAGAUUGCAAUUCUGGGAUUUGCCUUCAAGAAGGACACUGGUGACACGAGGGAGACCCCAGCCAUUGAUGUGUGUAAAGGGCUGUUGGGUGACAAGGCCCGGUUGAGCAUAUACGAUCCCCAGGUUAAUGAGGAGCAGAUCCAGAGGGACCUUGCUAUGAAGAAGUUUGAUUGGGACCACCCCAUUCAUCUUCAACCUUUGAGCCCCACUUCUGUGAAGCAAGUUAGUGUAGUCUGGGAUGCUUAUGCAGCAACAAAGGAUGCUCAUGGCAUUUGCAUCCUGACCGAGUGGGAUGAAUUCAAAAGCCUCGACUACAAGAAGAUCUAUGAUCAGAUGCAGAAGCCCGCUUUUGUCUUUGAUGGAAGAAAUGUUGUCGAUGCAGAGAAGCUGAGGCAAAUCGGGUUUAUUGUCUAUUCAAUUGGAAAACCCCUUGACGACUGGCUCAAGGACAUGCCUGCUUUUGUCUAAAUUCUUGAGGAGCAAUCAUUCUCAUGGAUGGUUGAGUUACAAUUGAAGUCUGCUUUUAGAUUUCGAAUGAUCAUUUCCACUUGGCAAAACGGCUGACUACCUUGGAAGCACCAUGGAAUUGGGGAGAGGAGAGGCUGGAGACAAGUGAAGUGUAUUUACUUCAGACGAAUUUAACGUUCUUGAAAUGAUUGUGGUCUAAGAAGUGAUGGCUCCUCUUUUAGUUUGGAACUCUGAACCCCCUGUGGUGGAUUGGUCAUAGAACUUAUAAAACAGAUGGUUUGCUUUGCAGUAGCACUAAACCCUGUGUAGGAUGCCAAUGGGAAGGCCAUCGUAGAGCAGCGGCAUGGUGGAAACCGUGGAAUGAGAUACCAGUCUUUUGUGUAACAGAUUGGACUCUAGAGUCUUUGGAGGGGAGUUGGAGAGAAAAGCCUGAAUAACUAAGAGUGAGAUUAUACUGACUGAACCUUUAGGAAUAGGAGCACACAACUUCACGCCUUCACAGAUUGCUGCAAGUUCUGCUGCACCAGGGAACAUAGAGAAAGUGGUGCCUGUAAUCCCCUGCAUACCCAGAGAAUUGAGAGCCUCUGUGAUCUCUCACAACUGCAGCUAUCCCUGCCUAACUAGGAAGAAUGCUUCCACAAAGCACCAGUGUUAAUGCAGAAGCAUGUAAGGGGGAGGUGACAUGUUGUAGCAAUGACGCACGGCUGUUGAUUAAGACUGAAUUCUAGUGCUGUGUUUGCAUUUCGAAUGGGGUUGGAGGGACAUGUUGUAACACAGGCAUCUUGAAGCUAAAUUGACCAUCACAUGGAAGAUA